UAUAGAAAUUUCUGUUCUGAUUAAGAAAAACAAAUAUCCUGCUUCUCCAAAGCUAGUGCUGUGGUUUUUCCUUUAAGAAAUUAUUGCAUGCUCGGAGUCAUCUACCUGAGUGUUGCACUGAAUGCAAGCUUGCAGGUACUGUAGGCAGUCUCAUGGUCUGUAUGAAGGGUGAUAAUAAAUUGAUGCUGAAUUGGGGAAUAAACACAUCUAGCUUGAAAUAUACAUCAAGAGCUGUCUUGAAGAGAGCUACAGCAAUGGAAUUUGAGAGGAUACUGCAUGAGGCUCUGAACAUUAGAUGGAGUCAAGAUACUAUUGCAAAAACAUUUCAACUUUGUGUCCAGACAUAGAAGAAAACCAUCUAAAACCUCCCAAGAAGAAAACUGGAAUUUUAUGUGGAAGACAAUUUUUCCAGUAAUUUUCCAGUUCUAGUAAGCUUCUGCAAGGUGAUGGAGCCUGACUCUACAUUUGUCAGCUAUUGUUAGCAAAGCCUUCAGGACCAGCAUGUUGAAAAGAUCUCUUGAAGAUAAAAGCUUGCAACACAAUGAGGAUGUCCUGCUGCCUAACUAUGUGCAUUUCCAAAGAGAAGAAAAUGUCAUGUGCAGCUCGUGACACUUACUCUACAAAGAAGCUUUUCAUUGAGGAUCAUGGGUAGCAUUUGACAAUAACUGCCUUUUCUAACUGCAUUUUCUUUGAGAUUGAAAGUCUGACUUGGUUCAUCUCACUCCAUACAAGUAAAAGGUAUUGUUAUCGACAAGAUGAAUAACAAAAAAACUUUGAUUCCAGGUUCAAACUAUACUAAUAAAACCACUAGGAGCUAUUUUUGAAGUGUUAUUGCCACAACAGUGAAUCCUUGAUUUUUGCAAUAAUGUAGUGAUUUAGGACAUUUCUUGCAAACCAAGAAAUCUUGUUGAAAUGAAAGUAAUUGGCUAUACCUAGUUUCAAACAUGCUA